rnacentral:tRNA from 1 species
GGAUAAAUGGCUGAGCGGUUUAAAGCAUUAGUUUUGAAAACUAAAGUAGACUUUUUUCUACCGUGGGUUCAAAUCCCACUUUGUCCU